rnacentral:rRNA from 1 species
UGAGGAAUAUUGGUCAAUGGGCGAGAGCCUGAACCAGCCAUCCCGCGUGCAGGAUGACGGCCCUACGGGUUGUAAACUGCUUUUAUGUACCAAGAAUGGGUCCUACGUGUAGGAUUAUGACGGUAGUACAUGAAUAAGCAUCGGCUAACUCCGUGCCAGCAGCCGCGGUAAUACGGAGGAUGCAAGCGUUAUCCGGAUUCAUUGGGUUUAAAGGGUGCGUAGGCGGUCUGCUAAGUCAGUGGUGAAAUGCUGCAGCUCAACUGUAGAACUGCCAUUGAAACUGUCAGACUUGAGUGCGCCUGAGGUAGGCGGAAUGAGUAGUGUAGCGGUGAAAUGCUUAGAUAUUACUCAGAACACCGAUUGCGAAGGCAGCUUACUAAAGCGUAACUGACGCUGAUGCACGAAAGCGUGGGGAGCGAACAGG